rnacentral:rRNA from 1 species
UACAACAUAACAUUAAUGCAUUGGAUCCAAUUAGAACUCCACAGUUAUCACACUUGAGCUAGAGUAGUACUGGGAUGGGUGACCACCCGGGAAGUCCCAGUGUUUUAC